rnacentral:lncRNA from 1 species
ACCCCAUGGUCUUGACUGUGCAUUGCCACUUCUUUAAUGUAGGUGAUGUUUGGUUUUGUGUCUCUCUCUCUUGGUUUCUCACCCACAAAGGUACUACCUGUAGGCAGAGGUUCAGAAGAACCUUCAGAAGAUAACAAUGAAGACAAAUCUCAUCUCUACAGGGUUGUGAGAUGAUCUCAGGAAUCCUCAUAUUAUGCCCCAAAACCUUCAGCCACAGUAUUUCUAUGCAGAGCAACAGAAUUUUGGUAAAUCUUACCCGGAGUGGGUAAAUAAGGAAAAAUGGCAUUAUUCCAAAAAUAUGUUUCAGGAAUAUGAACUUUAAAUGUAUAAGGUUCCACCUUUAAUUCCUCCCUCUUCCUCAGUUUCCCUGCCAAGUCCCUCAUCAAGUAACAUGGAUGGCUCUUCCACUCAGCUUCUCUUUUCUGUUCCUACAAACUUCACUGUAUCCCUGACCCUCACGAGGCUGUAUGGCACUCCAGUUUAUUCAGCAUCCUGCUGCCAGACCAAUCUUUCACAAUAAUUAAAUUCACCAGGCUACUGCCCUUUCAGAAAACCACUAAUAAAUCCUCAUUUUUCUGAAGCAUCAUGUUUAAAUUUCACUAAAUUGACAUUCCAGGCCCUUCAAAUGCUGUUUGUGUCUAUCCCUUAGUCAUGUUGUCUCUCCUCCUUGCACCAAAUUCCUCACUAUCCUACACAUUUGCUGAGGAGAAUACUGCCUUUUUAAGCCCCUCAUCCUAUGGCUUCCUUGCUUGUCAAUGCCAUCCCUUUUCUGCAUCUCUGUGUCAAAAUCCUGGCCACUCUUGUAGGCCCAGCUCAGUUGAAGGCCCUCCAGAGAGCAUUUUGACUAUUGCAGCCUCAUCAAGGCCUUUAAAGAUAUUCACAGCCCUGACUGUCUAACCCAUACCACCUAGAAUCUCAAUUUUAACUCUCCGGUAUCUGCUGGAGUUUCACGUUUGCCCAGAUGGAUUAUAAUUCUGUUGCAUGUUGGUACUGUAUCUCAGACUUACGGACUAUGCUCAGAGAAGGUCCCCAGUGAGCCCUCACAAAUGGAAUCCAUAAAAUUCUCCUCCUGCCAACUCAUUUCCAGCUUUGGCCCUUCGUCAGCCCUGAGCUUUCGAGACUCCUGGUCUCCUUUUCUUAUCAGCACACCUUGACUUACUUCUGUAUCAUGGUCUUUGACACUGACCUUCUUCCUGGGGAGUAAACCUAAAUCAUCACUC